GUAUUUGUGCAGUGGCAUUAUCGUGGCCAAUGAGGUUUAUCCGAGGCGCGAUUAUUGCUAAUAGAGGGGAGACUGCUUAACGUGAACAAGAAUUUUUGUCUAAUAUAUGGUUUAUUCAUAGGUUUAAUCAGACUAGGAUGUUUUUUCUCAUUAAAAAUCCCUUAAGCCAGUGAAAUAUUUUGGGAUAUUAUUUCUUGU
rnacentral:snRNA from 1 species